AGCCCCGUGGUGGAGCGACCACGUUGGAUUGCAAAUCCAGAGACGCAGAUUAAUACCCUGCCGGGGCUU
rnacentral:tRNA from 1 species